UAGCAAAGUUUGAAAAAUGCUUGCUGGGU
rnacentral:piRNA from 1 species